UUGCGGCGGCCAUGGCCCAGGUGAGACGCCCGGUCCCAUUCCGAACCCGGAAGCUAAGGCCUGGCACGGCGAUGGUACUGCACCCGACAGGGUGUGGGAGAGUAGCACGCCGCCGCAU
rnacentral:rRNA from 1 species